rnacentral:rRNA from 1 species
GCUUGUCUCAAAGAUUAAGCCAUGCAUGUUCAAGUAUAGCAAGUGUACAGUGAAACUGCGAAUGGCUCAUUAAAUCAGUUAUAAUUUAUUUGAUAGUGAAAUUGUACAUGGAUAACCGUGGCAAUUCUAGAGCUAAUACAUGCGCCCAGACCCAACUUUUAGGAAGGGUUGUAUUUAUUAGGUACAGAACCAAUGCAAGCUCCGCUUGACCUUUUGGUGAUUCAUGGUAACCGAACGAAUCGCACGGCACCAGCUGGCGAUGGACCAUUUCAGUUUCUGACCUAUCAGCUUCCGACGGUAGGAUAUGGGCCUACCGUGGCAAUGACGGGUAACGGAGAAUUAGGGUUCGAUUCCGGAGAGGGAGCCUGAGAAACGGCUACCACAUCUAAGGAAGGCAGCAGG